CAGAGUCCCAGGCCAGCGGAUCUGACCCAUGCUCUUUGCCUACCCACUGAUGGCAACAUAGAUGGCCAGACAGGAUCCUUGGUGGGCUGAGAACUAGGGAACGAAGACUGAGGUCAAGGAGAGACAGUGGAGCCGGCCCCACCUGGUGAACAUCCACACAGAGAGAGCUGAGUAGCCGCCUUCCCACACCAUUGCGAACCUUCUUUGAGCAGCAUGUAGCCCUCUCUGCCUCUGAGAAGAGGGGCUCUGCAAUGACUCAAGUGGUCCUGCUUAGAAGAGCGUGACUGCCCCCUGGUGGCCACACAUCUGAUAUCUCCAACAGUAGCUCCACCCCCUCCAUCCAGUGCCUUGGUCCAGCCAUUCAUCAAGGAACAGGGUUCCGUUCUGAAGUUGUACUCGAUGCCUGGCGAUGCCUGGUGAGCCUGACACAGGCAGAUGCCCAUUGAGGAUGACUGGCUUGGUAGCUAUGACACCACAGCCUUGAGUGACAGGCACAGCACGGAGUGCUGAGUUUGUUCCUGGCCACCACCAGGGUUUUAGACAUAAAUAUUCUCUAGUAAAUUGACAAUAGAAAUCCCAGGCAGGGGUAUUCCAAGGACAGACUUCAUGCAAGAUGUCCUUUACAGCAAAGGCGUGAGCAAGAAGAAGCAAGGCAGCUAGAGUCACUGACCUGCACGGCGCACUGCUGAUGGCCACUUGUC